rnacentral:rRNA from 1 species
AUUGAACGCUGGCGGCAGGCCUAACACAUGCAAGUCGAACGAGGGGCGGACGGGUGAGUAAUGUCUGCGACACUGCCCGAUGGAGGGGGAUAACUUCGGGAAACGGUAGCUAAUCCCGCAUACCCACGGAUGCGCCCAUGGGGGAUUAGCUAGUAGGUGGGGUAACGGCUCACCGAGGCGACGACCCCUAGCUGGUCUGAGAGGAUGACCAGCCACACUGGAACUGAGACACGGUCCAUACUCCUACGGUAGGCAGCAGUGGGGAAGAUGGCACAAUGGGCGCAAGCCUGAUGCAGCCAUGCCGCGUGUAUGAAGAAGGCCUUCGGGUUGUAAAGCACUUUCAGCGGGGAGGCGUUACUCGCAGAAGAAGCACCGGCUAACUCCGUGCCAGCAGCCGCGGUAAUAC